GACGAACGCUGGCGGCGUGCCUAAUACAUGCAAGUCGAACGCUUCUUUCCUCCCGAGUGCUUGCACUCAAUUGGAAAGAGGAGUGGCGGACGGGUGAGUAACACGUGGGUAACCUAACCAUCAGAGGGGGAUAACACUUGGAAACAGGUGCUAAUACCGCAUAACAGUUUAUGCCGCAUGGCAUAAGAGUGAAGGGCGCUUUCAGGUGUCGCUGAUGGAUGGACCCGCGAUGCAUUAGCUAGUUGGUGAGGUAACGGCUCACCAAGGCCACGAUGCAUAGCCGACCUGAGAGGGUGAUCGGCCACACUGGGACUGAGACACGGCCCAGACUCCUACGGGAGGCAGCAGUAGGGAAUCUUCGGCAAUGGACGAAAGUCUGACCGAGCAACGCCGCGUGAGUGAAGAAGGUUUUCGGAUCGUAAAACUCUGUUGUUAGAGAAGAACAAGGACGUUAGUAACUGAACGUCCCCUGACGGUAUCUAACCAGAAAGCCACGGCUAACUACGUG
rnacentral:rRNA from 1 species